rnacentral:rRNA from 1 species
UACGUAGGGUGCAAGCGUUAAUCGGAAUUACUGGGCGUAAAGCGUGCGCAGGCGGUUCUAUAAGACAGAUGUGAAAUCCCCGGGCUCAACCUGGGAACUGCAUUUGUGACUGUAGAGCUGGAGUACGGUAGAGGGGGAUGGAAUUCCGCGUGUAGCAGUGAAAUGCGUAGAUAUGCGGAGGAACACCGAUGGCGAAGGCAAUCCCCUGGACCUGUACUGACGCUCAUGCACGAAAGCGUGGGGAGCAACAGG